AGAGUUCUUAAUUAUGCGUCAUAUUUUCUGGUGAAUGGCCACUAGAGAGGAGAUAAAGCAUCCAUUACAGUUUUUGGAACUAAGGAUAAUUAUUCAAUGAAACCAAGCUUGGAAAUCUUCAUCAGGAGUAUAUUUUUCACUGUCUACCAUGAAUCAAAACUCCUCUGUCCAUGGAGAGGAUGUGUGACAAAGUGAUUGCUUCAAAAUGAUAAUAAAAGACCAUUGUGGCAUUAUCAACCAUGGGAGGGCUGCUGGAGAAUUGCAGAGAAGAGGAAUAUGGCCUCUCAGACAAGACAUCAGCCAACAAGCCAUCAAACCGCAAAAUUAGCUUCUGUUUGUUUUUCCACUUGCUGACAAUGUCUUUGGGCAUCUAGGAGAUAAAAUAUCAUUAAAAAAACCUGCAAGAAAUAGAUUUCCUCAACAUGCAAUCAAAUACCCUCUCCACUGCAAAUAUUUCUUAAGCCUG